GACAGAGGGUGCAAACGUUGCUCGGAAUCACUGGGCGUAAAGGGCGUGUAGGCGGGAAUGUAAGUCGGGCGUGAAAUCCCUAGGCUCAACCUAGGAACUGCACUCGAAACUGCGUUUCUUGAGUAUCGGAGAGGAAAGCGGAAUACCUGGUGUAGAGGUGAAAUUCGUAGAUAUCAGGUGGAACACCAGUGGCGAAGGCGGCUUUCUGGCCCGACACUGACGCUGAGGCGCGAAAGCUAGGGGAGCAAACGGG
rnacentral:rRNA from 1 species